UCUCAAUAUUGCAAAUAGUACUGAUAUAAAUAUCUUUGUAAAAAUAAUUAUGAAGUUCUUUUAUUGCUUGGCUGUUUUCCUAGGUGAAGUUUUAUAGCUUUUGCUACAUUUAUCAGCUUGUACUUCAGAAACAUUGAGUCAAGUUAAAGUGAUACCAGCAAGGAGACUCUGCUAGUGGAAGAAUCAUGCAGAAGAGGCUUUUGUUGCUUUGAAUAGAAUAUACACUGCACUGUGCAUCUAAUGGUUUCCUGUGGCAUGCCUCCCAGAUGCUAGGCACUGUGCUAGAGCAUAAGGUACACACAUUCCCUCUUAAACGAACUCACAGACUGGGGGUAUGCUGGUGGAGAGAGAGAAACAAGCAAGUGCAAAAUACUAUGGCGAGUGCUGGGAUGGUGUCCUCUCUCUCAGAUUUUAGGAGCACCUAAUUUAGAGUUAGGGAGUCACGGACAGCUCCUUAGAGGAAGUCCUGUCCGAGAAGGACCUGAAAGGAUGGAUGCACCAGGCUGAGGAAUAGCACAUUCAAAGUAUCCCAGGAAGGGCCAAUAAAAACAUCCUGGAGAGAAAAUAGCUGGGCAGUUUCUCAAAAAGUUAAAUAUGAAAUCACCAUGUGACUUAGCAAUUCGCUCCUAGGUAUAUACCCAAAAGAAUUGAAAACAUAUGUUCGUACAAAAACCC
rnacentral:lncRNA from 1 species